UUCGGACUGUGGUCUGCAACUCGACCACACGAAGCUGGAAUCGCUAGUAAUCGCGAAUCAGCAUGUCGCGGUGAAUACGUUCCCGGGUCUUGUACACACCGCCCGUCACACCAUGGGAGUCAGCAACGCCCGAAGUCAGUGACCUAACCGAGAGGAAGGAGCUGCCGAAGGCGGGGCAGGUAACUGGGGUGAAGUCGUAACAAGGUACC
rnacentral:rRNA from 1 species